rnacentral:rRNA from 1 species
GACGAACGCUGGCUGCGGGCUUAACACAUGCAAGUCGAACGGAAAGGCCCUGCUUGUUUGGUUUGCUCGAGUUGCGAACGGGUGAGUAACAGUAGAGUGACCUGCCCUUGACUUUGGGAUAACUUCAGGCCACUGGGGGUAAGACCGGAUAGGAACUCCUGCUUCAUGGUGGGUCUUAGAACGUUUAGGCGGUUGGGGAUGGACUCGCGGCUUAUCAUCUUGUUGGUGGGGUAGUGGCUUACCAAGGCUUUGACGGGUAGCCGGCCUGAGAGGGUGACCGGCCACAUUGGGACUGAGAUACGGCCCAGACUCCUACGGGAGGCAGCAGUGGGGAAUAUUGUACAAUGGGCGGAAGCCUGAUGCAGCAACGCCGCGUGCGGGAUGACGGCCUUCGGGUUGUAAACCGCUUUCGCCUGUGACGAAGCGUGAGUGACGGUAAUGGGUAAAGAAGCACCGGCUAACUACGUG